rnacentral:rRNA from 1 species
UACGGAGGGAGCUAGCGUUGUUCGGAAUUACUGGGCGUAAAGCGCACGUAGGCGGCUAUUCAAGUCGGGGGGUGAAAGCCCGGGGCUCAACCCCGGAACAGCCCUCGAAACUAGAUAGCUAGAAUCUUGGAGAGGUCAGUGGAAUUCCGAGUGUAGAGGUGAAAUUCGUAGAUAUUCGGAAGAACACCAGUGGCGAAGGCGGCUCACUGGCCCGGUACUGACGCUGAGGUGCGAAAGCGUGGGGAGCAAACAGGG